rnacentral:rRNA from 1 species
UACGGAGGGUGCAAGCGUUAUCCGGAAUCACUGGGUUUAAAGGGUGCGUAGGCGGUCAGAUAAGUCAGUUGUGAAAUACCCCGGCUUAACCGGUGGAACUGCGAUUGAUACUGUUUGACUUGAAUCAGGUUGAGGUAGGCGGAAUGAGGCAUGUAGCGGUGAAAUGCUUAGAUAUGCCAUAGAACACCGAUUGCGAAGGCAGCUUGCUGGACCUGUAUUGACGCUGAGGCACGAAAGCGUGGGGAGCAAACAGG